rnacentral:ncRNA from 1 species
GUGGUUCCGGUUCCCGCCCCCUGGUCUCCAGGCUGACAGAGGCGAUCCGGCGACC